GAUGAACGCUAGCGGCAGGCCUAACACAUGCAAGUCGAGGGGCAGCACAGAAAUUCAGCAAUGAGUUUUGGUGGCGACCGGCAGACGGGUGCGCAACGCGUGUGCAACCUACCCCUAACAGGGGAAUAACGGAGGGAAACUUCCACUAAUACCCCAUAAUAUAUGGAUCGGCAUCGGUUCAUGUUGAAAUUUUCGGACGUGACGGAUGGGCAUGCGUAGCAUUGGCUUGUUGGUGAGGUAACGGCUCACCAAGGCGACGAUGCUUAGGGGGACUGAGAGGUUUUCCCCCCACACUGGUACUGAGACACGGACCAGACUCCUACGGGAGGCAGCAGUGAGGAAUAUUGGUCAAUGGGCGCAAGCCUGAACCAGCCAUGCCGCGUGCAGGAUGACGGCUCUAUGAGUUGUAAACUGCUUUUGUACGAGGGUAAAGUGGGUUACGUGUAACCUUUUGAAAGUAUCGUACGAAUAAGGAUCGGCUAACUCCGUGCCAGCCGCCGCCGUAA
rnacentral:rRNA from 1 species